rnacentral:rRNA from 1 species
AUGGAGGUCCUCGAUCUACACAGUAACUCUCUAUCAGGUCGCAUACCAGGCGAUUGCUGUAAGCUCGAGAAUCUGUCCCUCCUUUUAUUAGACGGCAAUCAUCUCUACGGCCCAAUACCAGAAAACCUUGUACAGUUACAAUUUCCCUUCAUCUUCCUCAAUCUCUCUAGUAACCAACUCACAGGCAAGAUUCCAUCUCCUUUCGAGAUGGGAAGAUUUCAAUGGAGCUUUCUUUCCAAUCCCAGCUUAUGUUCCUCCAACCACUUUGGAAACCUUCCUCCAUGCACCAGAUUGCACUUGAAGAUGCUUGUAAUUAUUGUCCUCGUCUUUGGUUCAGCCAUUCUCAUAUGCACAGGGCUAAUUGGUUUAACUAAGAUCAAGGCAUUUUUCUCAAAGGAAAAGGACGACGCCCCAUCUCCACAGUGGAAACUGACGGCCUUCCAAGCUAUUGAUUAUGACAUUCAAGACAUCCUUUGCAACCUCAUUGAUACAAACCUUGUCGGCAGCGGUGGCUCAGGAAAGGUAUAUAAGAUCUGCCUUGGUAACAGAAACGGCGGGGUUAUAGCUAUCAAGCAAAUAUGGUCUAGUAGUGGUGAACUGGAACAUGAUGUGCUGGAAAAGCAGUUUCAAGCUGAGAUUGAGAUUCUUGGAUCCAUCCGACACGCCAAUAUCAUAAAGUUGCUUGGCUUCAUAUCAAGCUCUGAAUCGAAGCUCCUCAUAUACGAAUACAUGGAACAUGGUAGCCUGUAUGAAUGGCUGCAUCAGAAAGAUGACCCUACUAGUACAACUAGACGGUUGUUGAACUGGCCGAUAAGAAUGUCAAUAGCAAUCGAUGCAGCAAGAGGGCUGUGUUACAUGCACCACAGUUGCUCUCCUGCUAUAGCACACCGUGAUGUGAAGUCCAGCAACAUCCUACUGGGUCCUCAGUUCAAAGCAAAGAUUGCGGACUUUGGCCUAGCUCGCUCUCUACUUAAAGCUGGCGAGCCAGAGUCUGUCUCGGCUGUGGUUGGGUCCUUCGGAUACAUAGCUCCAGGUAACAACUUCAGUUAUUUUGAACUCUGUAUUAUAAGUUUAUAA